ensembl:misc_RNA
CUUACCACGUGCUAAGAAAGCACUCAGACGGGCCGGCGGACAGGGACAGGGAGAGGAAAGGGGAGAUUGGCAGAGGGGGCCUCAGGAAGACCCCAGAAAGUCACGGAAGGGAGGGGUAGGAGAUUCCCGGAAGGAGGACCUAGGCUGGGUUUUUCUAUUUCUAAUUUUUACUGGUUUCCUAAAACACAAAAGU